rnacentral:lncRNA from 1 species
GAAGAUCGUGAAAGAGAAAUAAGAAAACGGGAAAAACCGUGAGGGAGGGAGAGAGAAGGGGAGUGGAAGCCAUGGAAGAAGGAAGGGAGGAGAAGAAGGAAGAGAAAUCCUAAUUAGCAAAACAAUCUCCUACAAAUCUCCCUAACCAUCUUCUCCAUUCUCCUCCAUCAAAAUCUCCAAGAAAGCAAGGGAGAAAAGAAAUGGGUUUGAAGAUUUAAGCAUGGAUAAGGCUACGGGAGAACUCAAGGAGGAAGAAAAUCUAAUUCUAGCAAGAUCUAGAUCAUCAUCUAGCAUCUAAAGGAAGAAUCAAAGAAGUAUGUUCUUGAAAUUUUAAAUUUAUAUUUUCCUUCUUAAAUCUUCAGAUAUAUUAAGUAAAUGUGUAUGUAAAUUGUUGAUUAUUGGAUAUGUUGUGAUUCUAUGAGUUAUGAGUCCAUAGAAUCUAAAAUGAACUGAUUUGGGUGUGUAAAACUUGAUUUAUGAAGAUUUGAAGGAUAAAGAGUUCAAAAUUUUCGGGAAGAACGAAUUUUAGAAAAGUUAAUAGACUGCUGUCCCUAAAAGGAAAAUUCGGGAUUUGUUAAGUUGUUCAGAAAAUUCUGGGCUUUUGGUAUGUUAUAGUACACUGAAUAAGCUUUCCAUAGACUCCAAAACGGACUAAUUCCGACUCCGGAGGAGGUAGUUAUGACGUUCGGAAGAGGCAUAAUCAAAACUGUCCAACCAAAUUCCGAACAGUCUCCUUUUAAAAAUAUUUUGGACUGAUGUGUUCGGAUUUUGGAAAAACACCAUUAGAUAAAGGUUGUAGCCCUAGAAGAUAGCUUCGCGUGGGCUCAAGAAUCGCUCAAAAAUGUUUUAAAACGGGAGAGUUAUGACUGUUUUAGCGAGACAGGGUAAAAUCUAGAAAUAUCAAACUACAAACUGUCCAAAUAUUUGCAGGGGCAUUUUCGGCCAUUUGAUUAUUGAAAUAAAAUCAGGCCUUUUGUGACAUGAAAAUAUAUAAUAUAAGGUAGGUCCUGUCCAAAGAUGAGAUUAUUUCGACUUAAAUCGAUCGAGUUAUGGCCAUUUCAAUUUUUGGGAUUUUUCUACGAAAAUGACUAUAACCGAAGUUCUAUAACUCCGAUGGCCACGAAAUUUAAAUUAGAAGUUCACGUUAGUACGUGUAAAGUUCUGCCAAGAGUUGGGAAUUUUCGGAGUUGAGCAUGAUGUAGCUAAUUUUCUUAAGUUACAAACUAAAAACGGACUUUCGAAAAAUAAUAAAUGAAUUUUAAAAUUCAAGGAAAAAUAUAUUUUCAUAAGGGGAUCAUAUACUAUUGAUUUCUAGAAAAGAAAUAUUUUUUAGAAUUGAUUUGAUAUUUUUCAUCUAAAUAAUGAUAAAUGGAUAACCGGAUUUAAUUAAAUUUAUGAUGUCCAAAAAUAUGAAAAAAAAAACGAUUUAUGACUUGAGACCCUUGAGCAUGGCUUAUGCAGAUUUUUGUUGAAGUUUUGGGUCGACUGUGAAGUAUUGUGAUGUUUAUGACAUUUUAGAAUGAUUAAAUGUAUUAUUUGGUAAAGUGUAAACAAUUAAAAUAAAUUAUUUAUAAGUUUAGUAAAUGAUUAAAAUAUUGUUAUAAUAUUAAUAAUAUUAGGUUAUGAGAUUAUUGAGUGAUUAAUAACAUUUGAAUUAAAGUGUUAUGAAAUCAUUGAUUUAAAAUAUUAUUUAAUGAUUAAUAAUACUAGUAAAUGAAUUUAAUGUUAUUAAAUGGAGUUUAAAAGAGGAGUUAAGUUAAUUUGACAUUCAAUAGGUCAUAUUGAAUGUAUAGUAUAAUGAUUUGGAAAUUUGAUAUAUUGAGAACGAAAACAGCUUGCUGAAUUAGAGAAAACAGCUUGGUGAAUUAGAGAAAACAGCUAGUUGAAUUAGAGAAAACAACUUGCUGAAUUAGAGAAAAUAGUGUGCUGAAUUAUAAACAGUUUGCUGGAUUGUAAAUUAGUUUGAUGUCAGGUUGCUGGAAUUGAAGAAUAGUUUCAGUACAGGUUGCUGGAUUGUUAUAUUUAAAUAAUCCAGAUUAUAAUAUUAGUAUUUGUUCUACUGGAUUAUAGAAAGGAGCUUAUGAAAUGAAAAAGCGAGUGUUAAAUCAUAAUGGAUAUGAUAUAGUGAUUAAAGAAUUAUCUAAGGAUGAUAAUAUUGCUAAUGUGUUAAGAUGUUAUCUAAUAUUUGAUUAAGUGUUAGAUAAUUGAUUGAUAAAGUAAUUGUAUUAUGAUACAAAGUAGAAUAUGCUGAUUGAAAGACCAAUCUUAUUAAUGAUAGGUCUUACCAAAAGAAGUUAACUUAAAUUGCGUAGCAGUAGUCAACGAAUCAGGCAAGUUUCCUUAACUCAAACUCGAGUUAUAUUUCAAAGUAUGUUAGUGAAUGAUUACUGAUGAUUAUUCAUGUCUAAACUGAUUAUUGAUUCGCACUUAGUGCAUGUUGCAUAUGUUCAUCAGGUAUGAAAGGCUGAUCACCUUCAUUACGAUAAGGUUCAGUUAAAUUGUUUAUGGUCGCUGUUGACCUUCAAACAUUAUUGAUUCAGUCAUGAAAUUAUUGAAACUUGAUUCAUGUUAUUUCACAAUUAAUUAUAUAUUGUUGAAAACUUGAAAGCUUAUUCAUUCUUUUCAAUCAUGAUAUAUCUUCAUUGUAUUUAAAACUUGCUGGGUAAAUUUGUUGCUCACCCUUGCUAUAUCAUGAUAAAAUUUUCAGAUUUAUGUGAAAGCUCGAAUAAAGACAGAAGCAAAGUCAAAGUGCAAGAUUAAAUUAUGUUGCAGUUAGAUCCAUUAAAUUUUCUUACGAAAAUAGCACUGUAAAUCUUCUAAGAUAUUGAAGGUAUGUAUUAAGUUAAGGUUGUAGACCUUGGGAAUGAUGUGUAAAAGUUUAGUAUAUAAACAAUUUAUGUUUAUAUCUUCCGCAAUAGUUAUAGAAUUAGUAUACCAGAUUCAUGGUAAAAAGUACCCGGAUUUGGGGACGUUACAGUCUAUCCCUACCCAAUUCAGAAUUAAUCACUUGAC